rnacentral:rRNA from 1 species
CAGCACCUCAAGUGGUCAGGAUGAUUAUUGGGCCUAAAGCAUCCGUAGCCGGCGCUGUAAGUUUUCGGUUAAAUCUGUACGCUCAACGUACAGGCUGCCGGGAAUACUGCAGCGCUAGGGAGUGGGAGAGGUAGACGGUACUCGGUAGGAAGGGGUAAAAUCCUUUGAUCUAUUGAUGACCACCUGUGGCGAAGGCGGUCUACCAGAACACGUCCGACGGUGAGGGAUGAAAGCUGGGGGAGCAAACCGGAUUAGAGACCCGUGUAGUC